rnacentral:rRNA from 1 species
GGGAAUUUUGCGCAAUGGGGGAAACCCUGACGCAGCAACGCCGCGUGGAGGAUGAAGUCUCUUGGGACGUAAACUCCUUUCGACAGGGACGAUAAUGACGGUACCUGUAGAAGAAGCCCCGGCUAACUUCGUGCCAGCAGCCGCGGUAAUACGAGGGGGGCAAGCGUUGUUCGGAAUUAUUGGGCGUAAAGGGCGCGUAGGCGGUUUGGCAAGUUUCGUGUGAAAUCUUCGGGCUCAACUCGAAGUCUGCACGGAAAACUGCCGGGCUUGAGUAUGGGAGAGGUGAGUGGAAUUUCCGGUGUAGCGGUGAAAUGCGUAGAUAUCGGAAGGAACACCUGUGGCGAAAGCGGCUCACUGGACCAUAACUGACGCUGAGGCGCGAAAGCUAGGGGAGCAAAC